rnacentral:lncRNA from 1 species
GAGAGAGAGAGAGAGAGUUAGGUUCAUAUGUAAAUGAUAAAUAUUGUGUGACCGUAAGACCAAUUCUAGACCAAUAACCAUUUAGGGGCAAUUUAGUCAUUUUGUACAAUAUCAUUAUAAUUUCAAUUUAUCAAUUAAUUAAAUAAACCUAAUUAAAAUCCUAUAAUUAAGGAAUUUAACCUAUAAUCACCACCUUCCGGUAUUAUCUUUGUCGCAACCAUCCUCAUCUUUAUCAGUCGUUUUCAUCUUCAUCGACUAUAAUCACUGCAGCUGUCACCGUCAUCAUCGCAUCCAUCACAAUCCAUGCCGCCACCAUCUUUCUAAUAUCCUUAUAACUUAAUCCUCAUUUGUCCAUAUGUAUCCUUCAACCAUCCUGCAACGCAUCAGAUAAAUCACAAGAACAAAAACUAGGGCUUAUCACGACUACAGUAGCCAUCAUUAAAUUAAUAAACAGAAGCAUCACAAAGGUAAAAAAAAGGUUAAAAAACUACUCUUUGCAGCCUAAGCUUGAUGAUAAGGCAUCAUUCUUGAAGCAUUUCAUAAACUUUCAUGUAUUUGUCACUCUUAAAUCUGUCACCAUAAAGGUAAAAAAAAGGCGGGGAAACUACCAUCGGUUUCUUGUUUUCUUUUUGGCUGUAACUUUGAUGAUUACAACAUUUUUUUAGCAAUUUUAUGAAUCGAUUUUUUUUUUUUAUAAAAACUCUAUAUUUAGAUAUUGAAACUUCUAUUAUUUGGCCUAAAGACAAGACCUUGGUGUAAAGUCAAAUUGCCCACCAUGUGUAUGAUAAAAGGUCCAAGAGAAUCUUUUCAUUGCCUAACAUUUGUCUGAUAAUAAUUUCAUUAAAGCAUAAUUUCCCAGCAUAUUCUUGAUAAAAGUACUUGAAAUAAGUUCAUGGAGUACUAGGUGUUUAAUAAUUUAUCACCAAUCUUUAGCUUUUAUUUGCUAUAUAUUUUGGAUCAAAAUGAUGACAAAUCUUUUGGUUUUCAAACGAGGUGGAAAAGUGAAGUUGAAUUCUAUCUUAAUAUCUUUUUUGAAGUUGAUCAUGAAGAGCAAGUAGAUGCAUUAUAUGGUAAGCUUUUUUUUAUAUCCCUAUGUUUUAUAAAUGUUUAUUUGUAAGCUUUUAUAUAUUACUCUUGAAUGAUACUAUCUAUGAAGCUUGUUUUGUCAUUGGAGAUGUUGAAAACGAGAAAAUCAUAAACCUCCAUGAGGCAUUUAACAAAUGCCCUUUGCAUUUACUUUUACCUUUAAAUCGUAACAAUGGAUUUAAGAUUAUGAUAUGCAAAUGUGAGGUGAAAUGAAACCAGGUACCCCAACAGGAAUAAUGAUGUGCAAUUAGCUAAUUUUGUAGAAAUUGAAUUUCUGAAUGAACAAGUGAAUUUCAAAAAGAGUUUUUGCAUUUUGUUGGAGGAUAAUCAUAUUGAUCAUUGAUUUGUAUUUUUAAUUUAAUUAAAGGUUGAAGUAAUAAACAGAUAUAUAAGUAUGUUGCUCGGCUAAGAGCAAUUUGAAAAGGACAUGGUAAAAAUUUCAUUAGAAAUUUCAUUUCUAUGUGACUAUUGCAGAAAAAAGGAAAUAUGAAUGCGAUAAUAUAUGGAUUUGUUUCACAUGUUGUAAAAGAAUAAAAAAAGAGAAGAAGAAGAAGAAGAAGAAGAAGAAGAAGAAGAAGAAGUGGGUUCAAUUUCUUUUUGGACUUCCAUCUGAACACAAAUGCCAUGACAAUUAAAUUCCUAAAAUUUAUUUUGCAGUUGUUUGAAUUUGAACUAGAGGACUUGCAAUUCGAUAAUCAAAAGGAAGGGAUGCAAUGUUAUUGAUAUUCUUCAAGAAUGUAUACUGCAAUAUUCUUUAAGAAUGCAUACUAUAAUAUUUUUUAAGAAUACAUAUUGCAAUAUUGUUUAAGAAUGCAUAUUCUUUUUAGCAUGUAUUAGCAAGUUUUCAGAAUGCGUCAACAAAUUAUAAUCUAAUUUGUAUAACUUCAUUUUUCUUUGAUUCUCAGUUAAAUAUAUCAAUUUUCAAUAUAAAUGAAUAAUCAUUUGAUGCGGUU